rnacentral:rRNA from 1 species
GUGGGGAAUCUUGCGCAAUGGGCGAAAGCCUGACGCAGCCAUGCCGCGUGAAUGAUGAAGGUCUUAGGAUUGUAAAAUUCUUUCACCGGGGACGAUAAUGACGGUACCCGGAGAAGAAGCUCCGGCUAACUUCGUGCCAGCAGCCGUGGUAAUACGAAGGGGGCUAGCGUUGCUCGGAAUUACUGGGCGUAAAGGGCGCGUAGGCGGACAGCUUAGUCAGAGGUGAAAGCCCAGGGCUCAACCUUGGAAUUGCCUUUGAUACUGGCUGUCUUGAGUUUGGGAGAGGUGAGUGGAACUCCGAGUGUAGAGGUGAAAUUCGUAGAUAUUCGGAAGAACACCAGUGGCGAAGGCGACUCACUGGCCCAAUACUGACGCUGAGGCGCGAAAGCGUGGGGAGCAAACAGGAUUAGAAACCCGGGUAGUCC